CUUUGAAGCCAUAAAGUAACCUGAAAACAAUCUGUGCUCAGGCUUUCGACCGGAGUUUGGUGAGUCCUGGAAACAAAGAGAGAGGAUGCUGGUACCAUCGUUCAAAGGGAAGCAUCUGUCUCUCAGCCUGUGCUUAUGUGCUGGAAUCUGACAAAGGGAUGCAUUUGGGAGCCAGGCAUGGUGGUAAAAAAAAACAUGCAAUCCCAUCUGAGGCAGGAAGGAAGAUCAGACAUUCAAAGCCAGCCCAUGUAUUUU
rnacentral:lncRNA from 1 species